rnacentral:misc_RNA from 1 species
CCAAUAGCGUAUAUUAAAGUUGUUGCAGUUAAAAAGCUCGUAGUUGAAUUUCGGAAUCAAUAUAUCGGUCGUGCCUCUGGUACGCACUUAUUUAUUGAUUUCUCACUUCUGACGAAUCAUAAUGUCAUUAGUUUGGUGUUAUGAGGAAUCAGGACUGUUACUUUGAAAAAAUUAGAGUGUUUAAAGCAGGCUCGCGCUUGAAUACAUUAGCAUGGAAUAAUGAAAUAGGAUGUUUUAUCUUAUUUUGUUGGUUUCUAGGAUCGACAUAAUGAUUAAUAGGGAUAGUUGGGGGCAUUAGUAUUCAAUUGUCAGAGGUGAAAUUCUUGGAUUUAUUGAAGACUAACUACUGCGAAAGCAUUUGCCAAGGAUGUUUUCAUUAAUCAAGAACGAAAGUUAGGGGAUCGAAGACGAUCAGAUACCGUCGUAGUCUUAACCAUAAACUAUGCCGACUAGGGAUCGGAUGAUGUUAUUUUUUAAUGACUCAUUCGGCACCUUACG